UACGGAAGGUCCGGGCGUAUCCGGAUUUAUUGGGUUUAAAGGGAGCGUAGGCCGGGUUUUAAGCGUGCCGUGAAAUGUCGGGGACGUCAACCCUUGACACUGCGGCGCGAACUGAGUCCUUGAGUGCGCGGAACGUAUGCGGAAUUCGUGGUGUAGCGGUGAAAUGCAUAGAUAUCACGCAGAACUCCGAUUGCGAAGGCAGCAUACCGGCGCUCAACUGACGCUGGAGGCACGAAAGCGUGGGGAUCGAACAGG
rnacentral:rRNA from 1 species